rnacentral:rRNA from 1 species
GACGAACGCUGGCGGCGUGCCUAAUACACGCAAGUCGAACGAGAGCGACCGGUGCUUGCACUGGUCAAUCUAGUGGCGAACGGGUGAGUAACACGUGGGUAACCUGCCCAUCAGAGGGGGAUAACAUCCGGAAACGGAUGCUAAAACCGCAUAGGUCUUCGAACCGCAUGGUUUGAAGAGGAAAAGAGGCGCAAGCUUCUGCUGAUGGAUGGACCCGCGGUGCAUUAGCUAGUUGGUGAGGUAACGACUCACCAAGGCCGUGAUGCAUAGCCGACCUGAGAGGGUGAUCGGCCACAUUGGGACUGAGACACGGCCCAAACUCCUACGGGAGGCAGCAGUAGGGAAUCUUCCGCAAUGGACGCAAGUCUGACGGAGCAACGCCGCGUGAGUGAAGAAGGUUUUCGGAUCGUAAAACUCUGUUGUUAGAGAAGAACAAGUGCUAGAGUAACUGUUAGCGCCUUGACGGUAUCUAACCAGAAAGCCACGGCUAACUACGUG